AUUAGAUACCCUAUUAUUUUAUAACCUGCCUAUGCCUGAAAAAUAAAAACCUCGUUCAAAACUCAAAGAAUUUGGCGGUGUCUAAUCAUAACAGGGGAACCUGUCCCUUAAUUCGAUAAUCCACGAUAACCUUACCUUCUUUCAAAGCCUGUGUACUGCCGUCGCCAGUCUACCUCUAAAAGUGUAUACAACAAACACCACUCCCACGUCAGGUCAAAGUGCAGCCAAUGAGAAGGAGGAGAUGGGUUACAAUCCCAAUAAAGAUACAGAUUUUAUUAAUCAAUAAUACAUGAAGGUGGACUUGUUAGUAAUCUUAAUACACAAAAUUCUCAUGAAUUAGAAUCUAAGACAUGCACACAUC
rnacentral:rRNA from 1 species